UCGAGGUAAGGGUCAGAGAAUCCUAAGGCAUUUUGGAACUAAGUGAGCAAAAGUUGAACUGCUGGCCCAUCAACUUGAAGGAGACUACAUUUGGUGUCUUCAAUGUGAAAUUAGUUUGUUCAUAAAAUUCAAAAGUGGAGUAAAAUUCAAGGACCAAUUCCACAUAUGCUGGUACGAUGUUCUCAAAGUAAGGAGACCAGUUGAUGUUGUUGAUCAUUUACAAAACCUCUUCUUUGAUGUUUAGGGUUUUCAGGAUGGGGGUGUGACAACACUUAUCCGACAUUUUGGGGAGUUUAGAGACUCCCCCAUACCUCUUUUUUUCCAAGUCUUCAUGGAAGGCGAGGUGGCCAUUAAGUUCAAACUCGUUGGAUCUGGUGGUUCUGGCUAUGAAUAUAGGAUUGACAGAUCUAGUGCACUUUGUGCUACUUUCUUUUCUACUUUCUUUGCUACUCACUCAACACCCUUCAGAGCACGAUGAAUGGUAAAGUAGGGCUGGGGGUCACAGGUCUUAUAGGCUUAUCUCUUUUACCUCAUGGUUCUGGUGUUUACGGUUGCUGGUGGUUAAGAGUCAGGAUUUGGGAGUUAAAGGUUACCAAAGAUUUAAAGAGGUUAGGGCAAGGUUUAAGAGUGAUUGAGAGGAGGGUGGAUGUGGGAAAGGUUUUAAGUUUUUGAAUUUUAAAAUGGGCACCAGGUUCCGUGCGCUUUGGCCAAGGCGUAAAUGGAAGGUUUGUGUUUUUUUUUAAACUUGAGCAAGGCUUAGGUGGUUGAGAAUAAGCGACAAAUGUGGCUUAUAGUAGGCCAAGACUCAUGUAAGACCUGUUUCUAGAAAGUAAACCUCGAGCAAGGUUAAUGCAAUUGACUGGCUUUUGCCCCUCCCGCCUGGUCCAACAUGUUAGCCUUGGGCAAGGCUUAUGCAUGAUCUUAACUCAGAUUCGAUGUUCAUUACCUUAGGUCAAGGCUUAUGCGGUCUGUUUGGGUCAAAACACAUGGGUGACCGAAAUGCAAGCCUUGGGUAAGGCUUAGUUGGUGAUUGCCAAUUUGCUACCCAGGCAUCGCUAUUUGAAUAACCCUUGGACAAGAGUCAACAUAUCCGUACGAGCCUUGGAUAAGGGUAUUCUCAUUCUCAUGAUAUCAGUCGGGCUUCACAUGAUCCUUGUUUGAGAACUUAGCAGUCUUGAGUUGAUUUUUUAAUGGCCUGUGAUAAGGAAGAAAAACGUAAGUUAAAGUGGCAUUAACAGUUUAUAAAAAUGAAUAAUAAAAAAACGACAAAAAAGAAAAUAGAAGGAAUAAAGAAACCAAAUGGGUUACCUCCCAUUAAAAGCCUUUUUUUAUUGUCUUAGGCUGGACGUAGUCUGCAGGUUGUCACUCAUUAUCUAUAGGAUUCUCGAGGAUAUUCUUCAACUUGCUGCUUAGUAAAUCCCUCAUAAAACGGUUUAAGUCGGUGCCCGUUUACUUUGAAUAUCUUGUGUGUGUUUAAGCUUUUGAUUUCAACAGCUUCGUGGGGAUAGAUGGUUGUAAGAAUAAAAGGUCC
rnacentral:lncRNA from 1 species